rnacentral:lncRNA from 1 species
ACUGCCCGAGAUGACUACCCGAGGUGACUGCCUUAGAUGAUUGCCCGAGAUGACUGCCCGAGAUGACUGCCUUAGAUGAUUGCCCGAGAUGACUACCUGAGAUGACUACAUGACUACCCGAGAUGACUGCCCGAGAUGACUGCCCGAGAUGACUGCCCGAGAUGACUGCCUGAGAUGACUACCUGAGAUGACUGCCCGAGAUGACUGCCUGAGAUGACUGCCUUAGAUGACUGCCCGGGAUGACUACCUGAGAUGACUGCGUUAGAUGACUACCUGAGAUGACUGCGUUAGAUGACUGCCUUAGAUGACUGCCCGGGAUGAUUGCCUUAGAUGAUUGCCCGAUAUGACUGCCCGAGAUGAUUGCCCGAGAUGACUGCCCGAGAUGACUGUCAAUUUACAUCCUGUGGACAAGUGCUGCAAGGCCAACGCCAUCCAGAAAUAUGGAGUCCUAAUCAUUUUGUUCUAUUAUUGCUAGCCAAGGAACUGCCAACGAUGACCUUCUCGGAGCAGAACAAAAGCUAUUCGGAGGCAUGUCAUUUAGUGUUAUCAGUUAACUGGACUUUGUGAGAGUUUUCUUGCAAAAUGUUUGCCAAGGUGGCGAUCGAAGGUGGACAGCAAGAUCGAAGCUCAGCAAGAUUGAAGAUUGUUCGAGGAAGAAGGAGUUCGCCGUUGACUAAAAGGUUUAUCUGAACAGCUAGUUGUCAAGAUGAAGGUGAAGACUCGCCGGCCAAAUUCAAAAUGGC